UACGUAGGGUGCGAGCGUUAAUCGGAAUUACUGGGCGUAAAGGGCUCGUAGGCGGCCAACUAAGUCAUACGUGAAAUCCCUCGGCUUAACCGGGGAACUGCGUCUGAUACUGGAUGGCUUGAGUUCGGGAGAGGGAUGCGGAAUUCCAGGUGUAGCGGUGAAAUGCGUAGAUAUCAGGAGGAACACCUGUGGCGAAAGCGGCGCACUGGACCACAACUGACGCUGAGGCGCGAAAGCUAGGGGAGCAAACAGG
rnacentral:rRNA from 1 species